UGCAUAUGGCAGCAGUGCAUACGGAACGGAAGCAGCAGGUAGCACAACUUAUGGAACCGAGGGAAGUACUGCAUACGGUACAGAUGCCUAUGGUAGUACUGCUUAUGACGCUAGUAAAGGUUCAGAAUCUGGGGCGACGGACCAAUACGCCAGUAGUACUUACGAAGCUGACCUUAGUACGAAAAGCGCUUAAAAGACAUUUCGAGGUUUCUGUUCACACAAAAAAU